AUGGCCCGGAUCAGGACGGAUCGACCCCUGCGCCGGCGGCCGCGGCCGGCCCGCGGCGACGACCGGGUGAGCGCCCUCCCCGACGACCUCCUGCUCCUCGUCCUGCGCCGUCUCGACACCCGCACGGCGCUCGGCACCGGCCUGCUGUCCAGGCGCUGGGGCCGCCUCCAGCGCGAGCUCCCGGCCCUCGAUUUCCGGGUCAGCAACAUGCUCCCACCGCGCUACCAUGGCCUGGUGUUUCUUCACCACGACAAGAACAGGAAUGGAUCUCAUCGUCUAUUUAAAAAGUUCGCCUUUAUGCCAAACAUUAUGAGGUAUGAGCGCCGCGCCAUGCGCGCAUUGACCAGCUCCGUCGAGAGCUUCUUGGAUGAGGAUGGCGCUCGAGGAGCUGGCCCGAGCUUGAGCAGGCUGAGGCUCGAGUUCUUCAUCACUCACAACACCGGCUGCAUGAACAGGCUAAUCGCCAAGUGCAUCGACCAUUGGGGGGUCAGGGACCUCGAAGCUGUUGCCAGACCGAUCUACUUCCGGCAAUCCGUCCACACCUUCCCCAGCUACGGCCUCUGCCAGGAGCCUCGCGCUUCGUCCUUGCGAAGCCUCAAGCUUGGAGGCUGCACGCUCCCGCCUCUGCACGAGUUCAGCUUCGAACAGAAAAAGCUAACUGGUGUGGGGAUACAGCAAAAAACAAAGGACAGAUGCCUUGACGCCAACACCGGCGCCGCCGACUCUGCUUCACGCGCGUCUAAAAGUUUCCGAGUUGCAAGUUAG
rnacentral:rRNA from 1 species